rnacentral:rRNA from 1 species
UUCCAUCUGGAAGAAUCUGGAGACAGGUGCUGCAUGGCUGUCGUCAGCUCGUGUCGUGAGAUGUUGGGUUAAGUCCCGCAACGAGCGCAACCCUUGCCUUUAGUUGCCAGCAGUUCGGCUGGGCACUCUAAAGGGACUGCCGGUGUUAAACCGGAGGAAGGUGGGGAUGACGUCAAGUCCUCGUGGCCUUUAUGACCAGGGCUACACACGUACUACAAUGGCCGAUACAAAGGGCAGCGACACUGCGAGGUGAAGCCAAUCCCGUAAAAUCGGUCUCAGUCCGGAUUGGAGUCUGCAACUCGACUCCAUGAAGUUGGAAUCGCUAGUAAUCGUGGAUCAGCAUGCCACGGUGAAUACGUUCCCGGGCCUU